UGCGUAGGCGGGCUAAUAAGUCAGUGGUGAAAUCUCUCGGCUCAACCGGGAAACUGCCAUUGAUACUGUUAGUCUUGAGUUCGGUUGAGGUAGGCGGAAUGUGUAAUGUAGCGGUGAAAUGCUUAGAUAUUACACAGAACACCAAUUGCGUAGGCAGCUUACUAGACCGACACUGACGCUGAGGCACGAAAGCGUGGGGAGCGAACAGGAUUAGAUACCAUGGUAGUCC
rnacentral:rRNA from 1 species